rnacentral:rRNA from 1 species
UACGUAGGGGGCUAGCGUUGUCCGGAAUCAUUGGGCGUAAAGAGCGUGUAGGCGGUCCGGUAAGUCCGUUGUGAAAGUCAGGGGCUCAACCCUUGAAUGCCGGCGGAUACUGUCGGGCUAGAGUCCGGAAGAGGCAAGUGGAAUUCCCGGUGUAGCGGUGAAAUGCGCAGAUAUCGGGAGGAACACCUAUGGCGAAGGCAGCUUGCUGGGACGGUACUGACGCUGAGACGCGAAAGCGUGGGGAGCGAACAGG